ACUAGUUGAGCCCAACGUAGACCCCAUAUAUGUGACUAUGCCACAAUUGCUCUAUGUUGGAGGGUAGUUCUCCUUUUAUAGACAAACUCACUACCCUUAAAUCUAUUCUCAAACGAUGUGGGAAUUUCACAUUUUUUGUGAUUUAUCGACGAAUUACCAACUAAAUAUAUUUCGUAGGUAUUUUUUUAAAAUUUUAUUUUCAAUUUCUCCUUAAUAUUACCUACGAA
rnacentral:misc_RNA from 1 species